CAGCCGCCACGGUAAUACGUAGGGGGCGAGCGUUGUCCGAAGCUACUGGGCGUAAAGCGCGCGUAGGCGGCUUCUUAAGUCUGAGGUGAAAGGUUCAACGCUUAACGUGAACAGUGCCUUGGAUACUGGGGAGCUUGAGUAUGGGAGAGGGCAGUGGAAUGGCUGGUGUAGCGGUGAAAUGCGUAGAUAUCAGUCGGAACACCCAUGGCGAAGGCAGCUGCCUGGCCUAAUACUGACGCUGAGGUGCGAAAGCGUGGGGAGCGAACGGGAUUAGAUACCCCGGUAGUCCCUGUCUCUUAUA
rnacentral:rRNA from 1 species